rnacentral:rRNA from 1 species
CCUACGGGAGGCAGCAGUGGGGAAUUUUACGCAAUGGGGGAAACCCUGACGUAGCGACACCGCGUGAGCGAAGAAGCCCUUUGGGGUGUAAAGCUCUGUCAGCUGGAACGAAAACAAUGACGGUACCAGCAGAGGAAGCAUCGGCUAACUACGUGCCAGCAGCCGCGGUAAGACGUAGGAUGCGAGCGUUGUCCGGAUUUAUUGGGCGUAAAGAGUUCGUAGGUGGUUUGUUAAGUUUGGUGUUAAAGAUCGGGGCUCAACCCUGGGACUGCACUGAAUACUGGCAGACUCGAGUGUGGUAGAGGCUAGUGGAAUUCCCAGUGUAGCGGUGAAAUGCGUAGAUAUUGGGAAGAACACCGGUGGCGUAGGCGACUAGCUGGGCCAUAACUGACGCUGAGGAACGAAAGCCAGGGGAGCGAAUGGGAUUAGAUACCCCAGUAGUCCUGGCCGUAAACGAUGGAUACUAGGCGUAUCGGGUAUCGACCCCUGAUGUGCCGCAGCUAACGCGAUAAGUAUCCCGCCUGAGUAGUACGGCCGCAAGGUUGAAACUCAAAUGAAUUGACGG